UACAGAGGGGGCUAGCGUUGUUCGGAAUUAUUGGGCGUAAAGGGCGCGUAGGCGGCCAUGCGUGUCUUCCGUGAAAUCCCUCGGCUUAACUGAGGACGUGCGGAAGAAACUGCAAGGCUCGAGUCCGGGAGAGGGGGGUGGAAUUCCCAGUGUAGCGGUGAAAUGCUUAGAUAUGACAUAGAACACCAAUUGCGAAGGCAGCUGGCUACGCAAAUAUUGACACUGAGGCACGAAAGCGUGGGGAUCAAACAGG
rnacentral:rRNA from 1 species